rnacentral:rRNA from 1 species
AUUGAACGCUGGCGGCAGGCCUAACACAUGCAAGUCGAACGGUAGCACAAAGAGCUUGCUCUUGGGUGACGAGUGGCGGACGGGUGAGUAAUGUCUGGGAAACUGCCCGAUGGAGGGGGAUAACUACUGGAAACGGUAGCUAAUACCGCAUAACGUCGCAAGACCAAAGUGGGGGACCUUCGGGCCUCACACCAUUGGAUGUGCCCAGAUGGGAUUAGCUAGUAGGUGGGGUAAUGGCUCACCUAGGCGACGAUCCCUAGCUGGUCUGAGAGGAUGACCAGCCACACUGGAACUGAGACACGGUCCAGACACCUACGGGAGGCAGCAGUGGGGAAUAUUGCACAAUGGGCGCAAGCCUGAUGCAGCCAUGCCGCGUGUAUGAAGAAGGCCUUCGGGUUGUAAAGUACUUUCAGCGAGGAGGAAGGCAUUAAGGUUAAUAACCUUGGUGAUUGACGUUACUCGCAGAAGAAGCACCGGCUAACUCCGUGCCAGCCGCCGCGGUAA